AAGAUGACGUAUAGGGGCUGACGCCUGCCCGGUGCUGGAAGGUUAAGAGGAUGAGUUAGCGCAAGCGAAGCCCAGAAUUGAAGCCCCAGUAAACGGCGGCCGUAACUAUAACGGUCCUAAGGUAGCGAAAUUCCUUGUCGGGUAAGUUCCGACCCGCACGAAAGGCGUAAUGAUUUGGGCACUGUCUCAACGAGAGACUCGGUGAAAUUAUAAUACCCGUGAAGAUGCGGGUUACCCGCGACAGGACGGAAAGACCCCAUGGAGCUUUACUGUAGCUUGAUAUUGAGUGUUUGUACAGUUUGUACAGGAUAGGUAGGAGCCGUAGAAAUCGGAACGCUAGUUUCGAUUGAGGCGUUGGUGGGAUACUACCCUAACUGUAUGACCACUCUAACCCGCGCCACUUAGCGUGGCGGGAGACAGUGUCAGGUGGGCAGUUUGACUGGGGCGGUCGCCUCCUAAAGUGUAACGGAGGCGCUCAAAGGUUCUCUCAGAAUGGUUGGAAAUCAUUCGUAGAGUGUAAAGGUAUAAGAGAGCUUGACUGUGAGAUUGACAAAUCGAGCAGGGACGAAAGUCGGACUUAGUGAUCCGGUGGUUCCGUAUGGAAGGGCCAUCGCUCAACGGAUAAAAGCUACCCUGGGGAUAACAGGCUUAUCUCCCCCAAGAGUCCACAUCGACGGGGAGGUUUGGCACCUCGAUGUCGGCUCAUCGCAUCCUGGGGCUGUAGUCGGUCCCAAGGGUUGGGCUGUUCGCCCAUUAAAGCGGUACGCGAGCUGGGUUCAGAACGUCGUGAGACAGUUCGGUCCCUAUCCGUCGCGGGCGCAGGAAAUUUGAGAGGAGCUGUCCUUAGUACGAGAGGACCGGGAUGGACAUACCUCUGGUGUACCAGUUGUGCCGCCAGGCGCAUCGCUGGGUAGCUAUGUAUGGCAGGGAUAAACGCUGAAAGCAUCUAAGUGUGAAGCCCCCCUCGAGAUGAGAUUUCCCAUUCCUUUAUGGAAGUAAGACCCCUGAAAGAUGAUCAGGUAGAUAGGCUAGGAGUGGAAGUACAGCGAUGUAUGGAGCGGACUAGUACUAAUCGGUCGAGGACUUAACCAA
rnacentral:rRNA from 1 species